GAGCUUCCUGGGUCCUGGGGUGGCACCAGUCAUUCUGCCAGGCAGGCAGGCAGGCUGUACCAGGAAGGAGAGGCCUGUCCCCCUUCUGUCAGGGAAGCCCUGGGCGGCCAGCCCUAUAACAGCGGGGUAGGUCUGCACCCUCUGGGCCUGUUUCUCCUGCUGAGGAAUGAAGGUUGCUCAAAACCUCCCCUUCCCCAAACUGAGGGUGCGGGCAGGGUGAGGGCCAGCCAGGCAACAGGCUGCAGUGGCACAUCCAAAGCUGGCACAUGCACCCAGCAGGUCAGCUCACUGGGCCUUGGGGUGCUGCCUCGCAGGGUCCCUCCUCCAGGAGGAAGCUGAGGCCCAGGAGGUGACCCCCGGCUGGCAGGCUCACAUUGCCAGGCAGGCAAACACUGCUUUCCCUGCAUAGAGACAGGAGGGACAGGGACAAUCAAUGCUCUGCUGAGCCCCCAGGGCAGUGGGGCUGCGACAGGAGCCAGCCCUCCCGCGGGUGAGUGACCAGGCCUCCGGUGUCCAGGCACACGGGGAUGGCGGGCUCUGUGGGCAGCUCAGGGCCCGAGAUCCUGCCCCCUCCCCCCAGAAGCCCGGGCUGCGUUUGCGGGUGGUUUGCAGGAGCUGAGGCCCCGAGGCCACUGGCGUUUGCAGGGUGGAAGCCUUUUCUACCAUCAGUGAGCCCAGAGAGGUCAGGUGUCUGCCCUGAGUCACUCGGCCUGGCAGGGGAGCCCACUGUCUGGGCAGCAGAGGGAAACACGCCUGAGGGCUGGGAUGUCCCUACAGGCAGAGCCUGGCACCACCACCACAGCGCUGGCACCUGCCCUGAGGCCAGGCAGCAAGGGAGCACCAGACAGACGGACGGAUGGACAGACAGACACAUGAGGAGAGUGACUACAUUGAGUCACUUAGCAGACUCUGGCCUCUCUGAUCAAGCAAAGGGGUCCCCUGCAGGGACAGAGGGAGACGUGACCAGCAGACGCUAUCCUGACUGCUAGGCCAUGAUGCUGCCCUCGCCCUGCUCAGCUGAGGAGGUGGUAUGGCCUGGGCAGCAUAGUCACCAGCCCCCCAGCCAGCUCUGCCCAGUGCCCAAGCUCCUGCAGAAGCCAGAGGAUACUCCUGUGGUGGGGACACUGGGCCUGAGACCCUCCAGGGCAGCUGCCAGAGCAGGGCCAGGCCCACCUCCUGUGGAUACGUGCUGCCCCCAGCCCUCUCUCCCCUCCUUCCCAUCCACCUGCCACUGUUCCCAGGGUGCCCCUCGUCCUGCCCCACCCCAGGUCUGUGCUGGACCCAGGUGACCAUAGGGACAGAAACAACCAGAAUCCAGAGUCCUGAUUCUUCAAACCAGAAUCUGAAACCCCUCUUCCUUCGCUUCACUGUGACAGCCUAGAACUUUCCAUGCACUCCUUCUCUGCUGUUCCUUACCUGCAUCCCCAAGGUAAGGACACCUCUGUCAAGGGCUUGCCAAGAGCACUCCGAAAGGACCAGAAGCAGCCACAGGUGCCCGCAGCCCUGGAGACAGCCUGCAGGUCCCCAGCUCAGAUGUCUGACCAAGGGUGCACCAGGCCCUUGCCUCUCCAUGUCGCUCCUGGCAGCUGUAGGGGGCACAUCCCAGGAAGACCCCUGUGGCUGUGGGGUGGAACCCAAAUCCCAAGACCCGCCCUUAGUUUGACAUUUAGCAGGUGAGUCACCUCUCUGGGCUCCGGUCUCCUCAUCAGGGCAAUGGCCACAAUAAUGCUAAUUUCUCAAGUUGCUGUCGUAAAAGUCUAGGAAGGAGGAGAAAUCUCAACUCACCACAUGAGGCAGGCAUUUACUGAGCACCUACUAUGGG
rnacentral:lncRNA from 1 species